rnacentral:rRNA from 1 species
AACGAACGCUGGUGGCAUGCCUAACACAUGCAAGUCGAACGAGACCUUCGGGUCUAGUGGCGCACGGGUGCGUAACGCGUGGGAACCUGCCCUUAGGUUCGGAAUAACUCCCCGAAAGGGGUGCUAAUACCGGAUAAUGUCUUCGGACCAAAGAUUUAUCGCCUUUGGAUGGGCCCGCGUUGGAUUAGCUAGUUGGUAGGGUAAAAGCCUACCAAGGCGACGAUCCAUAGCUGGUCUGAGAGGAUGAUCAGCCACACUGGGACUGAGACACGGCGCAGACUCCUACGGGAGGCAGCAGUGGGGAAUAUUGGACAAUGGGCGAAAGCCUGAUCCAGCAAUGCCGCGUGAGUGAUGAAGGCCUUAGGGUUGUAAAGCUCUUUUACCCGGGAUGAUAAUGACAGUACCGGGAGAAUAAGCGCCGGCUAACUCCGUG